rnacentral:rRNA from 1 species
GCGGCGUGCUUACACAUGCAAGUCGAACGAUGAAGCCCUGCUUGCAGGGUGGAUUAGUGGCGAACGGGUGAGUAACACGUGAGUAACCUGCCCCUGACUGUGGGAUAAGCCCGGGAAACUGGGUCUAAUACCGCAUAUGACACUUGGCCGCAUGGUCUGAGUGUGGAAAGUUUUUUCGGUUGGGGAUGGGCUCGCGGCCUAUCAGCUUGUUGGUGGGGUAAUGGCCUACCAAGGCGACGACGGGUAGCCGGCCUGAGAGGGCGACCGGCCACACUGGGACUGAGACACGGCCCAGACUCCUACGGGAGGCAGCAGUGGGGAAUAUUGCACAAUGGGGGAAACCCUGAUGCAGCGACGCCGCGUGAGGGAUGACGGCCUUCGGGUUGUAAACCUCUUUCAGUAGGGAAGAAGCCUUCGGGUGACGGUACCUGCAGAAGAAGUACCGGCUAACUACGUGCCAGCAGCCGCGGUAAUACGUAGGGUACAAGCGUUGUCCGGAAUUAUUGGGCGUAAAGAGCUCGUAGGCGGUUCGUCGCGUCUGCUGUGGAAACGCAAGGCUCAACCUUGCGCGUGCAGUGGGUACGGGCGGACUAGAGUGCAGUAGGGGAGUCUGGAAUUCCUGGUGUAGCGGUGAAAUGCGCAGAUAUCAGGAGGAACACCGGUGGCGAAGGCGGGACUCUGGGCUGUAACUGACGCUGAGGAGCGAAAGCAUGGGGAGCGAACAGGAUUAGAUACCCUGGUAGUCCAUGCCGUAAACGUUGGGCACUAGGUGUGGGGCUCAUUCCACGAGUUCCGCGCCGCAGCUAACGCAUUAAGUGCCCCGCCUGGGGAGUACGGCCGCAAGGCUAAAACUCAAAGGAAUUGACGGGGGCCCGCACAAGCGGCGGAGCAUGCGGAUUAAUUCGAUGCAACGCGAAGAACCUUACCAAGGCUUGACAUACACCGGAAUGUGCCAGAGAUGGUUUCAGCCCUUUUGGGCUGGUGUACAGGUGGUGCAUGGU